UAGAACCAUGUUAAGGAAGAUUUUAAGGCUCUAUAAAAUCUUGUUCAUCAAAAACUUGUUAUCGCAUGACAUAAAAAGUAAGAGACUUAUGGCUAGGAAUAAUGUAAAACAUGUUACUGCAAUGUUAAUAAUUGGAGUGGUCAUUUGUUCAGCGAUUGCUGAAAUCCAUACAAGUCAAGAAUGGCCUUGGACUCCAGUUUAUUAUGUUGCAUCUACAUUACAGGAUUGUCUUCUGCAAUGUCGAAUACAUUAUCAUUUUGAUGAGAGAAAUUUCCAUCAAUGCAUUCUUAACUGCUAUGCCACGGUUGUCAAGUAAUAUAGUAAUGGCCUGUUACAUUGAAAUUCAAGUAUAUCUUACAAUAAAUUGAAGACGAUUCGAGCUCUUUGAUUAUAUUGGGAAGUGAUUCAAGCUACUGAUUUCUGGUGUUUCAUGAUUUUGUUUUUGAUGUUUACUUCGCUGUCCUAUGGUUUACUUAUCCUUGAAUUUCAAUGGCUUAAAAUAUUAUGCUAUAAAAUAAUGGCCACUAAUUUUAUCAUAUCCCAUCCUAGUUGAAAUUUAAACAAAUAUGCUAUUGAUAUAUGAAGAAACUGUUCACUGUUCAGGACUCUAAUUAAACGAGUGUGAAACUUCAGUGUUUAUACUUUUUGCUUAUAAAAUACACUACAUAUUCAACCA